rnacentral:rRNA from 1 species
AUUGAACGCUGGCGGCAGGCCUAACACAUGCAAGUCGAGCGAGCGGCGGACGGGUGAGGAAUGUCUGGGAAACUGCUUGUUGGAGGGGGAGAACUACGGGAAACGGUAGCUAAUACCGCAAACCCGCAGGUGUGCCCAGAUGGGAUUAGCUAGUGGGUGGGGUAACGGCUCACCCAGGCGACGCUCCCUAGCUGGUCUGGGAGGAUGACCAGCCACACUGGGACUGAGACACGGUCCAGACUCCUACGGGAGGCAGCAGUGGGGAAUAUUGCACAAUGGGCGCAAGCCUGAUGCAGCCAUGCCGCGUGUGUGAAGAAGGCCUUCGGGUUGUAAAGCACUUUCAGCGGGGAGGCGUUACCCGCAGAAGAAGCACCGGCUAACUCCGUGCCAGCAGCCGCGGUAAUAC